rnacentral:rRNA from 1 species
AUGAUUUUUUCUGGUUUAAGAGAAAGAAGAAACAUCAAAUUGGUCCAACGUGUAAGAUUUCACUAUACUGUAAAUCAUUUGGUACAUCGGAAAUUACAGUACUUGUUCGGAACUAAUGAGUGUAUUAGUAUCUAUAGAAUAAUUGAUCUGCAAGCUCAUGAAAAAGAAGAUACAUUUAAUUUGUUCCAAAAGCAAGGCAGGACAAUUAAUCCACGUCCAGUUCAGCCAAAAGAGUUUAGUUAUACGACACUGAAAGCAGGCCAGUGGCAAUGUCAAAUAGAAAAAACUGGAUCACAUCAAGUUAAUAACAAAGCAUAA